rnacentral:rRNA from 1 species
UACGGAGGAUGCGAGCGUUAUCCGGAUUUAUUGGGUUUAAAGGGUGCGUAGGCGGACGCUUAAGUCAGCGGUAAAAUUGCGGGGCUCAACCCCGCCCAGCCGUCGGAACUGCCGGGCUAGAGUGGGCGAGAAGUGCGCGGAAUGCGUGGUGUAGCGGUGAAAUGCAUAGAUAUCACGCAGAACUCCGAUUGCGAAGGCAGCGCACCGGCGCCCUACUGACGCUCAGGCACGAAAGCGUGGGUAUCGAACAGG